rnacentral:lncRNA from 1 species
UUAAAUACACAACAUGUAAUUGAUGGAAUAGGAACCAGGUGUGAGGAAGACAAGACAAAACCAAUGGAAAAUGAAAGGUGGAUCGGCGAUGGCUGGAAGGCCGGUGACGUCGACCGCCGAACGCCGCCCGCACAAGGAGAAGGACCAACUUCGGUGGAAGUCGUGACAAAAACGACGUUGGAGGCGGCUUAUGGUAGAGAAAUUAACAUAACAUUCUCUGACAGCAGCUCUGUUGGACAUUCCUGCGGUCAGCCUGCCAAAUGCACGCUCCCUCAAAACUUGAGACAUCUGUGGCAUUGUGUUGUGUGAAAAAGUUUAGAGUGGCCUUUUAUUGCCCCUAGUACAAGGUGCACCAUGCUAAUCUUUGGCUUCGUUUUAUGAAAACAACACAAGCGAAGUUAAUAACUUCCCAAUUUUCCCCUCAGUGACAUUUAGUCAUAGUUGGCCUUCUAUGUGGUUCAAGGUCCUCUGACUAUCUGGAUCUGCCAGACAGGCAGUGAGAAGUUGAUAUACAGUAGGUUACUAAGAAACAAACUGAUAAUAACAAUUUGAACAUCUGCACGCAAGGUUAAGGUGGAAAAAUAGAAGUAGAAAAGGGAAGGAAAGUAGCAGAGAGAGACAGAGUGUGUGUGCGCAAACAGAGGAAGCAUAAGUGCUGAAGGCAGCACAAUAUGUGGAUGAGCUGAAGAAAGAGAACGGGGAACAGAAAGUUACAGAAAUAAACCAAAAAAGAGAAGAAUGACUCUCAGCCCAUUACUGAAAGCAUCCAAAGAGAGCAGUGUGAUGAGUAACAUGCCAAGUAUAGAAAAGACCAAGGUGUGUGUGUAUAGGGAAGGGCGGAAGUACAAAGGACAUUGUGCAGCCCAAGGGGAACAGGUGGGAGGGGGACGGGGGUUAAACAAAGAUGAAUUGAUAAACAAUGGUGACUUACUGUGCUGCAAAACAUAGGAUAGGCCUGCAUUAAAGGUGUCGUCUAAAAUAAAUAUACUUGUGUGUGCAUCCCAGCUAGCACAGUGGAUCUGUGCCGAUUCCGGCUGAGAGUUAGGGCACUCGGCUGAUAGUCAAACUCGGCCGACGUCAUGUGGCCAGAAUCUGGGCUGCCUUUCGGCAGUAUUACUUAUGUCUAGGAUGCGGGGACUGAGCUCGGGGAGAUUCCGGUGUGAGUUAUCUGGCCCAAAUGUAUUACUUGGGGCUCUGGCCGAUUGUGGCUACUCUGGCAGAUGAUUACACAGGCUGCUUUAUGUAAUUAACAUUUCACUAUUUAUUUAUUUAUUUAUUUUUCCAUAGUUUCUCAUUGUUUCUGUGAUCAAAAAAUGAAAUGAACAUUUAAAUAAAAUUCUUUAAGAGUCUUGUUUAAGGAGUAUUUUAGUAUUUUGAUACUGUGAAAAUUGAUAAGCAUUAAAAACUUUGUGCAUGGGGCCUGCCGAGUGGCGCAGUGGCCUAAGACAAUGCAUUGCAGUGCAAACUGUGUUGCUACAGAUGCUGGUUUGAUACCCGUGCCGGCUGCAACCAGGAGACCCAUGAGGUGACACACAAUUGGCCCAGCAUUGUCCGGCUUAGGGGAGGGUUUGGCCGGCCGGGAUGUCCUUGUCCCAUUGCGCUGUAGCGGCUCCUGUGGCGGGCCAGGUGCAUGCACGCUGACACGGUCAUCAGGUGUACAGUGUUUCCUCUGACACAAUGGUGUGGCUGGCAUCUGGGUUAAGUGUGCAUUGUGUCAAGAAGCAGUGCGGCUUGGCAGGGUUGUGUUUAGAAGGAUGCAUGGCUCUCUCCCGAGGUCGUAUGGGAGUUGCAGCGAAGGGACAAGACAAUUGGAUAUGACAAAGGUGGUAAAAAAGAAAAAAAAAUGUUUUUAUUUAACUAGGCAAGUCAAUUCUUAUUUACAAUGACGGCCUACCCCGGCCAAACCCGGACGAUGCUCGGCCAAUUGUGCGCCGCCCAAUGGGACACCCAAUCACAGCCAGAUGUGAUGCAGGCUGGAUUCAAACCAGGUACUGCAGUGAUGUCUUAGACCACUGCUCCACUCGAGAGCCCCAUAAAUUAAUAAAGUUAUAAAAACAAUUGUGGAUGGGUAUAAUUUGUAUGCAUAAAAUGUAUAAAAGUAACAUUUAAAAUGACUAAAUCGGGUAAAUUUGUAUACAUUUAUUUAAAAUUGCAUCGGGCCGCUUCUGGGGGGAUUCUAGUACGAUGCCGGCAAAGUCGGCUGAAUUCUGGAAGACGGAAACGCCCCGAUGUACUUGGGCCGAUUCUGGGCAGUCAUUCAUUUUGAUUCCGGGCCGAGUCCGACACCUGAUUCCGGGACGAUUUAAUCAGUUCUGGACCCCCGGAAGAGGGCCGCUUCUGGGCAGAUUCCUCAUUGAUAGCUGGGAUGUGUGUCCUGUGUGUAUUUGCAGUACAUUGGUGCAUCUGUGUGCUUAUCAGCAUCUGUUAGAUUAGUUGUGCAUGUGUGUGCCUGGGUAUGUAUGUGUUUGUGUGUUUGUUUGUGUGUGCGUGUGUGACUGUGUGCCUGUGUGUAGACAGUGGAGCCGUUACAACACUUGCUGGGUGUAGGAUCCAGGGUGUUUGUUCUCUAGGUGUUUGCAGAGUGGAAUAUCGCUCUGUACAGGACACAAUGUUCUCCUACUCCAUCAGCCUUUAACCUCUUAAAAUGACAGGCUUCUCUCUGUCUUUCUCUAUAUACACACACACAUAUAUAUACAGUACAAGUCAAAAGUUUGGACACACCUACUCAUUCAAGGGUUUUUCUUUAUUUGUACUAUUUUCUACAUUGUAAAAAUAGUGAAGACAUCAAAACUAUGAAAUAACACAUGAAAUCACGUAGUAACAAAAGUGUUAAGCAAUUCAAAAUAUAUUUUAUAUUUCAGCAUCUUCAAAGUAGCCACCCUUUGCCUUGAUGACAGCUAGCUAGCUAACAUUAGCUGGCAGGCUCCCUAGCUAACAUUACGUGUAUGACGUUAUUAUUCAUAUCCCAGAACCGUUUGCUUUGCUAGUUAGAGCCUAAUGUUAGCUAGCUAACAUUGAACCUGGUUGGUUAGCAGAUUCAUGCAGGGUAGUAACGACAUGAUUUGGC